UACGGAGGGUGCGAGCGUUGUCCGGAAUCACUGGGCGUAAAGGGCGCGUAGGCGGCCUGGUAAGUAGGGGGUGAAAUCCUGCGGCUUAACCGCAGGGCUGCCUUCUAAACUGUCGAGCUUGAGCACGGUAGAGGCAGAUGGAAUUCCCGGUGUAGCGGUGGAAUGCGUAGAUAUCGGGAGGAACACCAGUGGCGAAGGCGACUACCUGGCCUGUUCUUGACGCUGAGGCGCGAAAGCUAGGGGAGCAAACGGG
rnacentral:rRNA from 1 species